UGCCAAGCAGCCGCGGUAAUUCCAGCUCCAAUAGCGUAUAUUAAAGUUGUUGCGGUUAAAAAGCUCGUAGUUGGAUCUCGGCGGGCAGGGGGUGGUUCGCUCUUCAGCGCUACUGCCCCGCUUUGCCCGUGUGAUUGGCGGAGGUUUCGGGGUGCUCUUCGUUGAGUGACUCGGAGCGCCGUCAGGUUUACUUUGAAAAAAUUAGAGUGCUCAAAGCAGGCUUUUCACGCUUGAAUAUUCGUGCAUGGAAUAAUGGAAUAGGAACUCGUUUCUAUUUUGUUGGUUUUCGGAAAUCGAGUUAAUGAUUAACAGGGACAAUUGGGGGCAUUAGUAUUCAGACGACAGAGGUGAAAUUCUUGGACCGUCUGAAGACUGACUACUGCGAAAGCAUUUGCCAAGAGUGUUUUCAUUAAUCAAGAACGAAAGUUAGAGGUUCGAAGGCGAUCAGAUACCGCCCUAGUUCUAACCAUAAACGAUGCCAGCUAGCGAUCUGCCGAGUUUUUUUUGUAGGCUCCGCAGGAAGCUUUCGGGAAACCAAAGCUUUUGGGUUCCGGGGGAAGUAUGGUUGCAAAGCUGAAACUUAAAGGAAUUGACGGAAGGGCACCACCAGGAGUGGAGCCUGCGGCUUAAUUUGACUCAACACGGGAAAUCUCACCAGGCCCGGACACUGGAAGGAUUGACAGAUUGAGAGCUCUUUCUCGAUUCGGUGGGUGGUGGUGCAUGGCCGUUCUUAGUUGGUGGAGUGAUUUGUCUGGUUAAUUCCGAUAACGAACGAGACUCUGUCCUGCUAAAUAGUUGGGUCGUCCUUCGUGCGAUCCAAGUUCUUCUUAGAGGGACUGGCUGCGUCUAGCAGCACGAGAUUGAGCAAUAACAGGUCUGUGAUGCCCAA
rnacentral:rRNA from 1 species